rnacentral:lncRNA from 1 species
GUAAUAUAUGAGGAAAAAGUAAUGAGAAGCUAGCGCUGAGCAUAAAGUUUUAUAACAUGUACAGCAUUAUUAGUUAUCCGACAUUAAGAGUUAUCUAGAAUCUGACAAAGUAAAAAUUUUAACAUCAAAACAGAUUAGAUUUAUUAUUGAUAGCCCAAUAUAGAAAAAAAAAUGCUUAUCAAUAAAAUCGUUUUGGAGGAUUUUAAUUUUUUUUAACUUUUAUUUGUAGUGAGAGAAAAAUAGGUUUUCCCCAACCUCCCAAAAAGCAAAAACAAUGUGUCAUCCGUCUUCGAGCAUUCGUCUUCCAGAUCUAUAUAUAAAAUAUAUUUUUUUUGUUUUUUUUUUAAAUUGGAAUGAAUAAUGGAUCUCUCAAAUAUGAAACUUAGGACGUAGGAAUCAUUCCGGCUAAAGAGACGUUUGUAUUCUGCUUAAAAUAAUCCAUAUAAAUUUUCAAAUUAUUAAGUACUCUCAGAUCUGUUCAUUGGGUCUUUUUGUGUCGGGAUGUAUAAGUACCCGGCCUUGUCCACAUGUAUUUUUGUACAUCUGAUGAGUUCAGCCUUUUUCAACUGAUUUUUAUAGUUUGUUCUUAUGUUGUACUGUUAUACCACUGUCCGGGCCAGGUUAGGGGGAGUGUUGGGAUCCCGCUAACAUGUUUAACCCCGCCACAUUAUUUAUGUAUGUGCAUGUCCCUAGUCAGGAGCCUGUAAUUCAGUGGUUGUCGUUUGUUUAUGUGUUACAUAUUUGUUUUUCGUUCAUUUUUUUUUUUACAUAAAUAAGGCCGUUAGUUUUCUCGUUUGAAUUGUUUUACAGUCUUAUCGGGGCCUUUUAUAGCUGACUAUGCGGUAUGGGCUUUGCUCAUUGUUGAAAGCCGUCCGGUGACCUAUAGUUGUUAAUGUUUGAGUCAUUUUGGUCUUUUGUGGGUAGUUGUCUCAUUGGCAAUGAUACCAAACAUUCUUUUUUAUAAGGUUUCAACUCCAUUAGACAAAGUUGAUCUUUGUCUGCAUGAUUUUAUUUAUUAGGUUCUAUUUGGUCUGUUAGCUCUUCAACUGUUUCUAUUUUUUGUGCAUGCUCCGUUCCAAAAAUCGAGAAUUAUAGCUCUUUGAUUGUAUGACUAGUUGUAUGUUUUUUUUUCCAGCUGUACAGAGCUUUUUGUUGUCAAUGGUUAUUUUUGUCGGAAAUCUUUCACAAAAUUUCAUUGUUGUAAUUAUUAUUGACACAAUGUAGGAGAAGGAUGUAAGGUUAACUAAGUCUGCAAUAGUAGACGAAAAUACCGAUGCUUAUUAAUGAACAUAAUUUGCAUUGCUAAAAUCAUUUAACCAG